rnacentral:lncRNA from 1 species
GCCGAGUCCAGUUCCCAGGGAUGUGGGUCUGUGGUUGGAAAGCGUUGGUUUUGGGAGGCCAAGGUGUGCAGACAGUCGCCGGAGAGUCCCGGAGACUUCUGGAGCCGCGUGCCACGGAGAGCAGCACUCGUAGGCUCUCGUUGUGCAGACCUAUCUAGGAAUCAGGCGCUGUGCCCACGUCCUGGGCUGGAACUGGUUAUAUUAAUGAGCAAUAUUUAAUUAAAAGCUAAUUGAAUAUUCCAGACGGCAAUUAUCUUGCAAUAGGGAUGCCAAAUCCGACACGAGGAGGCAGUCUACAGGCCUCCUAGUGCCCCUGUGGACGGCAGAGGAGAACCCGGCCUGGUCUUUCUGCGCCAUCCUCUCGCCUUCUGGUGCUGCAUCAGACAGUGCUCCACUGCUA